GAGUGCACUAUACCAAAAUUGGUAUAUGCUUCGAGAGGUAAACUCUUUUACUUCAUUAAAACUAAAAUCGGUUUUCACCUCGCUAGCUCCUUAAAUAUUUAAGGUAUAAUAUCUUUUUAUAUCUUUAAUUGAGUAAUAUUUUCUCGUGUUAUUGGUAGGAGUGUUCGGGUAUUUAUACAUGUUAUUAUAGAUGUUAUUACAACUCAUAAUCAAGCCCCACUAUUUUGUUUUGACUCUGCUACCUCUAAUACUGACAUUCUCUGCGAACUCUAGGUCUACUGGGUACGUAUUCACGGAGCACGCCGUCCUUUCUAUCCAUGGGACUGAUUCUAGGUGGACUCCAUGCCUGUUGGACACGUGUUUAGAUGGCAUGUGGAGCACGUGGUCCUUUCUGCAAGCUCCUUGGGUAUAUGCGGGCUAAGACCAAGGCUAACAUAUGUUCUUGCGAGCUGGGUCCGUGAGCUCACUUUGCUGUCCUUUCGUCGUUUGCCUUGCACUCAAUCUUCUGGUAGGACCUAUCCAAGUUACGGGUUAGAGACCUGAAUCCCUUCUAGGACUUGGGUUGGUGAUUACUAAUGUAUAACACCUUUCAAUUUUAUAAAUAAAAAAAAAGUCACUUUAAUUUUCCAUCUAAAUUAAAUAGAUAGUUAAAAUGACUUUUUUGUAAAGUUUGAAGGCCAAAUAAGUUAUUAUGUCUUUUUAAAUAUGUGUAACCCUAAUAUAUAUUGAGAUAAAUGAUCUAUUUAUAUAAA
rnacentral:lncRNA from 1 species